CCUACGGGUGGCAGCAGUGAGGAAUAUUGGUCAAUGGCCGGAAGGCUGAAGCAGCCAUGCCGCGUGAAGGUCAGUGCCCUAUGGGCGGUAAAGUUCUUUCGUGCGGGAGCAAUAAUGGUCACGUGUGGCAAGAAGCGCGUACCGUACGAGUAAGAAUCGGCUAAAUCCGUGCCAGCAGCCGCGGUAAUACGGGGGGUGGAAGCGUUAUCGGGAUUUGUUGGGUUUAAAGGGGGCGGAGGCUGGGGGGUAAGUCGGCGGGGAAAUUCCCCGGGUCAACGGGGUGAAUUGCCAUUGAUACUGGCUUGCUGGAGUGCUGAUGAGGGGGGAAGAAUGUGUGGUGUAGCGGUGAAAUGCAUAGAGAUCA
rnacentral:rRNA from 1 species